AGUGGCGCACGGGUGAGUAACGCGUGGAUAAUCUACCCCUCAGUUGGGAAUAACUCAUCGAAAGGUGAGCUAAUACCGAAUAAUACUGCCUGACCACGGUCAGGUAGUCAAAGAUAGCCUCUGCUUGCAAGCUUUCGCUGAAGGAUGAGUCCGCGUACCAUUAGCUAGUUGGUAGGGUAAUGGCCUACCAAGGCGACGAUGGUUAGCUGGUCUGAGAGGAUGAUCAGCCACACUGGAACUGAGACACGGUCCAGACUCCUACGGGAGGCAGCAGUGAGGAAUCUUGCGCAAUGGGGGAAACCCUGACGCAGCAACGCCGCGUGAGUGAGGAAGGUCUUCGGAUCGUAAAGCUCUGUCGGGUGGAAAGAAAUGUAUGGGGUUAAUAGCCUUCAUACUUGACGGUACCACCAAAGGAAGCACCGGCUAACUCCGUGCCAGCAGCCGCGGUAAUACGGGGGGUGCAAGCGUUGUUCGGAAUUAUUGGGCGUAAAGAGCGUGUAGGCGGCUUGGCAAGUCAGAUGUGAAAGCCCUGGGCUUAACCCAGGAAGUGCAUUUGAAACUGCCUAGCUUGAGUAGGGGAGAGGGAAGUGGAAUUCCUGGUGUAGAGGUGAAAUUCGUAGAUAUCAGGAGGAACACCGGUGGCGAAGGCGACUUCCUGGCCCUAUACUGACGCUGAGACGCGAGAGCGUGGGUAGCAAACAGGAUUAGAUACCCUGGUAGUCCACGCCGUAAACGAUGUUCACUAGGUGUUGGGGGUAUUGACCCUCUCAGUGCCGGAGCUAACGCAUUAA
rnacentral:rRNA from 1 species